GACGAACGCUGGCGGCGUGCCCAAUACAUGCAAGUAGAACGCACAGUUUAUACCGUAGCUUGCUACACCAUAGACUGUGAGUUGCGAACGGGUGAGUAACGCGUAGGUAACCUGCCUGGUAGCGGGGGAUAACUAUUGGAAACGAUAGCUAAUACCGCAUAAUAUUGAUUAUUGCAUGAUAAUUGAUUGAAAGAUGCUAUUGCAUCACUACCGGAUGGACCUGCGUUGUAUUAGCUAGUAGGUGAGGUAACGGCUCACCUAGGCGACGAUACAUAGCCGACCUGAGAGGGUGAUCGGCCACACUGGGACUGAGACACGGCCCAGACUCCUACGGGAGGCAGCAGUAGGGAAUCUUCGGCAAUGGACGAAAGUCUGACCGAGCAACGCCGCGUGAGUGAAGAAGGUUUUCGGAUCGUAAAGCUCUGUUGUAAGAGAAGAACGGGUGUGAGAGUGGAAAGUUCACACUGUGACGGUAUCCUACCAGAAAGGGACGGCUAACUACGUG
rnacentral:rRNA from 1 species